rnacentral:rRNA from 1 species
GGUUAAGCGACUAAGCGUACACGGUGGAUGCCCUGGCAGUCAGAGGCGAUGAAGGGCGUGCUAAUCUGCGAUAAGCGCCGGUAAGGUGAUAUGAACCGUUAUAACCGGCGAUACCCGAAUGGGGAAACCCAGUGUGAUUCGUCACACUAUCAUUAACUGAAUCCAUAGGUUAAUGAGGCGAACCGGGGGAACUGAAACAUCUAAGUACCCCGAGGAAAAGAAAUCAACCGAGAUUCCCCCAGUAGCGGCGAGCGAACGGGGAGGAGCCCAGAGCCUGAAUCAGCAUGUGUGUUAGUGGAAGCGUCUGGAAAGGUGCGCGAUACAGGGUGACAGCCCCGUACACAAAAGCGCAUGUGCUGUGAGCUCGAUGAGUAGGGCGGGACACGUGGUAUCCUGUCUGAAUAUGGGGGGACCAUCCUCCAAGGCUAAAUACUCCUGACUGACCGAUAGUGAACCAGUACCGUGAGGGAAAGGCGAAAAGAACCCCGGCGAGGGGAGUGAAAAAGAACCUGAAACCGUGUACGUACAAGCAGUGGGAGCACAGGUUUACCUGUGUGACUGCGUACCUUUUGUAUAAUGGGUCAGCGACUUAUAUUCUGUAGCAAGGUUAACCGUAUAGGGGAGCCGGAGGGAAACCGAGUCUUAAUUGGGCGUUAAGUUGCAGGGUAUAGACCCGAAACCCGGUGAUCUAGCCAUGGGCAGGUUGAAGGUUGGGUAACACUAACUGGAGGACCGAACCGACUAAUGUUGAAAAAUUAGCGGAUGACCUGUGGCUGGGGGUGAAAGGCCAAUCAAACCGGGAGAUAGCUGGUUCUCCCCGAAAGCUAUUUAGGUAGCGCCUCGUGAAUUCAUCUCCGGGGGUAGAGCACUGUUUCGGCUAGGGGGCCAUCCCGGCUUACCAACCCGAUGCAAACUGCGAAUACCGGAGAAUGUUAUCACGGGAGACACACGGCGGGUGCUAACGUCCGUCGUGAAGAGGGAAACAACCCAGACCGCCAGCUAAGGUCCCAAAGUCAUGGUUAAGUGGGAAACGAUGUGGGAAGGCCCAGACAGCCAGGAUGUUGGCUUAGAAGCAGCCAUCAUUUAAAGAAAGCGUAAUAGCUCACUGGUCGAGUCGGCCUGCGCGGAAGAUGUAACGGGGCUAAACCAUGCACCGAAGCUGCGGCAGCGAACGUAUCACCCAAGACAACUUUACGGAGUUGACGAUUGACGGAGCGAAGCGACGUCAAAGCGUUCAUUAAAGUCGAGUUGGCUUAGGGAUACGUUCGUUGGGUAGGGGAGCGUUCUGUAAGCCUGUGAAGGUGUGUCGUGAGGCAUGCUGGAGGUAUCAGAAGUGCGAAUGCUGACAUAAGUAACGAUAAAGCGGGUGAAAAGCCCGCUCGCCGGAAGACCAAGGGUUCCUGUCCAACGUUAAUCGGGGCAGGGUGAGUCGACCCCUAAGGCGAGGCCGAAAGGCGUAGUCGAUGGGAAACGGGUUAAUAUUCCCGUACUUGGUGUUACUGCGAAGGGGGGACGGAGAAGGCUAUGUUGGCCGGGCGACGGUUGUCCCGGUUUAAGCGUGUAGGUGUGUGUUCCAGGUAAAUCCGGUUCACUUUAACACUGAGGCGUGACGACGAGGCACUACGGUGCUGAAGCAACAAAUGCCCUGCUUCCAGGAAAAGCCUCUAAGCAUCAGGUAACAUCAAAUCGUACCCCAAACCGACACAGGUGGUCAGGUAGAGAAUACCAAGGCGCUUGAGAGAACUCGGGUGAAGGAACUAGGCAAAAUGGUGCCGUAACUUCGGGAGAAGGCACGCUGACACGUAGGUGAAGUGAUUUACUCAUGGAGCUGAAGUCAGUCGAAGAUACCAGCUGGCUGCAACUGUUUAUUAAAAACACAGCACUGUGCAAACACGAAAGUGGACGUAUACGGUGUGACGCCUGCCCGGUGCCGGAAGGUUAAUUGAUGGGGUCAGCGCAAGCGAAGCUCCUGAUCGAAGCCCCGGUAAACGGCGGCCGUAACUAUAACGGUCCUAAGGUAGCGAAAUUCCUUGUCGGGUAAGUUCCGACCUGCACGAAUGGCGUAAUGAUGGCCAGGCUGUCUCCACCCGAGACUCAGUGAAAUUGAACUCGCUGUGAAGAUGCAGUGUACCCGCGGCAAGACGGAAAGACCCCGUGAACCUUUACUAUAGCUUGACACUGAACAUUGAGCCUUGAUGUGUAGGAUAGGUGGGAGGCUUUGAAGUGUGGACGCCAGUCUGCAUGGAGCCGACCUUGAAAUACCACCCUUUAAUGUUUGAUGUUCUAACGUGGACCCGUAAUCCGGGUUGCGGACAGUGUCUGGUGGGUAGUUUGACUGGGGCGGUCUCCUCCUAAAGAGUAACGGAGGAGCACGAAGGUUGGCUAAUCCUGGUCGGACAUCAGGAGGUUAGUGCAAUGGCAUAAGCCAGCUUGACUGCGAGCGUGACGGCGCGAGCAGGUGCGAAAGCAGGUCAUAGUGAUCCGGUGGUUCUGAAUGGAAGGGCCAUCGCUCAACGGAUAAAAGGUACUCCGGGGAUAACAGGCUGAUACCGCCCAAGAGUUCAUAUCGACGGCGGUGUUUGGCACCUCGAUGUCGGCUCAUCACAUCCUGGGGCUGAAGUAGGUCCCAAGGGUAUGGCUGUUCGCCAUUUAAAGUGGUACGCGAGCUGGGUUUAGAACGUCGUGAGACAGUUCGGUCCCUAUCUGCCGUGGGCGCUGGAGAACUGAGGGGGGCUGCUCCUAGUACGAGAGGACCGGAGUGGACGCAUCACUGGUGUUCGGGUUGUCAUGCCAAUGGCACUGCCCGGUAGCUAAAUGCGGAAGAGAUAAGUGCUGAAAGCAUCUAAGCACGAAACUUGCCCCGAGAUGAGUUCUCCCUGAGACUUAGAGUCUCCUGAAGGAACGUUGAAGACGACGACGUUGAUAGGCCGGGUGUGUAAGCGCAGCGAUGCGUUGAGCUAACCGGUACUAAUGAACCGUGAGGCUUAACCUU